GGGCCCAUAGUUCAGCUUGGCUAGAACGCCGCUCUGAUAAGGCGGAGGUCCUCGGUUCAAGUCCGAGUGGGCCCA
rnacentral:tRNA from 1 species